ACGUGGGCUACACACGUCAUACAAUGGAUGGUACAAAGGGUCGCCAACCCGCGAGGGGGAGCCAAUCCCAUAAAGCCAUUCGUAGUCCGGAUCGCAGUCUGCAACUCGACUGCGUGAAGUCGGAAUCGCUAGUAAUCGUGGAUCAGAAUGUCACGGUGAAUACGUUCCCGGGUCUU
rnacentral:rRNA from 1 species